rnacentral:lncRNA from 10 species
CUACUCACAAGAAUAUGGAUGAAUCUACAAGCAUAAUGUUGAGUGAAGGAAGCUGGAUAUGAAAGGGGAAGUUGUAAAAUGGCAUUUAUUUAAAGUUGAAAGUUUGGGGAAACGACUUUAUGUGAUUAGACGUUGGGAUAGUGCUUGCCCCUGAGGGGUGCGGCUGGAUGGAGGCAUGAGAGGCCUGGAGAGCAUGGUCUAAUAAACAGAGAAGGCUCAGGAGGGUCAGAAACACGGUGCCUCAUUUCUCAGCCUACUUGCCAAGAAUUCCCAAAAAGGAAGCACUGGAGGAUCAUUCCAAGGCUUGAGGUCCAGGACUACCCACUUCCCUUGGAAUGGUGUUGCCAUCACUGUUCUGGCACCGGAGGUAAGGAUUCUACAUCGUUAGGAGAAAAGAAAAAGGAGAAUUUGGGCUUGCACUGAGAGGAUUACCUUUGGUGGUCUGGAAGUGGUGGCUGCACAGGGAGCAUGGCUGGGAGGCCUCAGGAAACUGACAAUCAUCAGUAGAAGAUGAAGAGGAAGGAGGCGCAUCUUACAUGGCCAGAGAAGGAGGAAGAAUAAGAAGGGAUUCUCCAGCUGGAGCCCUAUAAAUUGGACUGACAAAAGACAGAUUAGCAAGAGAAAUGCAAGCAGCAGUUUAUUAACAUGUGCAUCAUGAUUACACAUGGAAGUACCCAGAGGUGUUUCACACAGCAAAGCCCAGGAGCACAGGUCUUGCAGCCUCUGGAUAACCAACUCGUCUCUCACCAGUGGUUCAAAAAAGCCCAUGCUAUCCUCAUCCAAAUAAACUUAUGAAAUGCUUUACCAAAUGAUUUGUUCAGAACAGUGAAUACUAGACACAACUUUGUGUGGAACAAGAGGAGAUCCAGUAAUGACAAUACAUCUUUUGUUAGAAAGACUUACAAAGGCUGUGACAUUCUUCUUUGAAGUGUUGUCAUUGUGUUGGAUGGGAUGAAGUGGUUCUAGGACACACAAAAAAGGAUCAAGAACAUCUGAGAAGACUACAGAUAAGUCCUUACUGCUGAUUUUGGACACAGGUCAGCCAUAUGAAGAUUCAGAUGAGCAGUCUGUGCUUCCUUUGCCUUAUCUCUCAAGAGCUGAGACCUUAUUUCUAUUCCACCUUGAACAAUUUUGUUUGAGUACAACAUAUUUACUGAUAUGGUCAGCUCAAGUCAUUGUGGAAUGAAUACUUAGAUGCUGCGUUCUUCCAAAAACUGAGCAGAACCUCCCUUCUGUGAACAUUUUCAAUAGGUUGUUUUCAAGGUGAGAAAGUGGGAGGGAGAAGGGGAUGAGCAUUGAAGUAAAUAUUUUUUUCUUCUUCUACUUUUGCUACUGGGAAUGUUCCUAUCCAGGAAGGCAGGUCCCCUUUUAUUUUAUCAGAUGCAGAGGAGUUAUCGUACCUCUGUUACCAAUUCUUUAUCCAUAAUUUAUGUUAGUAACAAGGGACCUGUUGCUAGCAGUUACUGAUGAAAACAAAAGCUGGUGGCUUUCUGGAAGAAGGGGGCGUGUGAUCUCAAGAGAGUUGCAUCAUGGCCAUACUCCUCUAAGUUUCUAAUUUUUUUUCCUUUUUUUUUUUUUUUGAGACAGAGUCUCAUUCUGUUGCCCAAAGUGGAGUGCAGUGGCUCGAUUUCAGCUCACUGCAACUUCCGCCUCCCGGGUUCAAGCAACUCUCCUGCCUCAGCCUCCCGAGUAACUGUGACUACAGGCCCGUGCCACUAUGCCUGGCUAAUUUUUGUAUUUUUUGUACAGACAGGGUUUUUCUAUAUUGAGCACGCUGGUCUCAAACUCCUGACUUCAGGGGAUCUGCCUGCCUCGGCCUCCCCAAGUGCUGGGAUUACAGGCAUGAGCCACCACGCCUGGCUUCUAAUUGUCUUUUUAAAAGCCUUUUCCCCUUUUGUGUGUGUGAGUUAUCUUCACUCUCACUGGCCACCAAUAACAAAAAAAAAAAAAAAAGAAAAGAAAUAAAGAAGUGGGAGAUGUUUAGAACAUUUCUGUGAUGUCAAGGCAGAUCCAGUAAUUAAAGUUUUCCCUUCUUCCUAUCUCGAUUUGAUCCCAAUGCACAUUUUUUUUUAGGUAAGUAACUUCAGAUUUCCUAAUCCACUAUAGCAUUUAAUUCUCAGGCUGUUAAUGGAGUAGAAGUCAUUCCUGUGGCUGGCAUAUCUGAACUGCCUGCAUAUCAAUAUCUGUUGAGACAUAGCACCAAAUAAUCAUUCGAAGCCCAGAAGUGAAUAAGAACAAUCCAUUCACGCGUGGGACAUUUAUUGGAUAUCGUCUAUUUUAAAAACAUUGGCUCAUCACUCUGGGAUAUGAAUAAAAAAUUAGAGGAGAAAAGAUGAAUAUAAAAACAUAUGGUAACUGAAGAAGGACUGAAGAGCUGAUGGCAAGGAUUCUGUCUCAGGUGUUUCCAAAGGCAGAGAGAGUCUACGAGUCAAUUCCAAAGACAUGUGUUCUCCCUUCCUCCAAUUCAGCUACCACCAAGGCUCCACCUGGCCCUUUAGGGACUCACGCUCCACUUACAUUUCUGGGAGGAGAACAAAACUGGUUCUUCCUUAGGAACCAAAACAGUAACAUGGGCCCUGUGCUGAUCUGAAAGGUAUUUUUAUUUAAGGAAAAGACUUGGCUUUUUUCAUGUUAAGGUUAAAUAUUUUCUCUGGGGACUGUGAUGAACACCUCCUGAAAAGUAAAAAUCUAACGGUGUGUGUGUGUGUGUGUGUGUGUGUGUGUGUGUGUGUAGGUGUGUAGGACGUUUUCUCUAGAAUUCUAAAAUUUCUUUUCUUAGGUAAUAAUUUUCACAUUUGCUAAGUUCUGAAUGAAUCUAAACUAUUUUGCUUUGAGUUUGUCUUCCUAUUACUAAUCCAUUUUCUGCUCUAGAAGAUUUUGAAGAUAAGGUAGGUUUUGAACUUAGCCCACUGACUGCCAAGCAAUAGUCAUUUACAUGGAAAGCAAAAAAAAGAAGUUAUUGGCAUCAGAAUUGACUCAGUCAUUAAAAUAUUCCACACCUAGAUUUCUCAAAGAACUAAAAACAAAACUACUAUGUGACCCAAUCUCACUACUGGGGAUACACCCAAAGAGAAAGAAGUCAUUAUAUCAAAAAGAUGUCUGUACUCAAAUGUUUAUCACAACGCUGUUCACAAUAGCAAAGACAUGGAAGCAACUGAAGUGUUCAUCAGUGGAGGACUGGAUAAAGGAAAUGGGAUAGACUAUUCACCAUGGAAUACUUGUCCAUCCAUAGAAAAGAACAAAAUCAUGUCUUUUGCAGCAGCAUGGAUGGAACCGGAGGCCAUCGUCCUAAGUGAAAUAACUCAGAAACAGAAAGUCAAAUACCACAUGUUCUCACUUAUAAGUGAGAGCUAAACAAUGAGUACACAUGGACAUACACAGUGAGUGGAAUAAUAGACGCUGGAGUCUACAGAAGAUGGGAAGGUGGGAGGGGCUUGACAAUCGGAAAGUUACCCAUUGGGUACCAUGUUCUCUAUUCGGGUCAUAAGUUCACUAAAAGCCCAGACUUUACGUCUAUGCAAUAUAUGCCUGUAAGAAAUCCACACUUGUACUCCCUAAAGGUAUAAAAAUUAAAACUAAAUAAAUAAAUAAUUAAAUAAUCCAUACCUAAACCAUUUGCAGUGGAAGAUUUUUGCACAGUUUUAUUUUCUCGGGGUCAUUUCCUACCCUGAGUUUUGGCCAUCUGCAUAUGGUUAUGGAAUUACUGUCUCUUAGGAUGCUCUUUACUCUUUCCUGAGCUGGUGAAACCUAGGGGAAUCACUAGAAUAAACUUCACUCUCUAUUUAUGCGGAUUUGCUUCACAGGGAAUCCUUUGUAUCAACUGAGUCACUGCCAUCAAAAUAUCCAUGAGAAGUUCACAUAACCUCAUUUCCCUCUGUUAAUGUUACUGAGUAAAGCACAAGACAGGAAUAUUCUUAGAGGAUAUAUGGCUUCCUCUUAAUCAGAGCUGGCUUAGAGUGGAGAAACAGGGUCCCUGGGGACAAAGCAAGGCACUCAUGAACUCUGGCCACUGUAAGACAAACAAUGGGGAGACCUUAUUCUUAAUUUAGAUUCUAAGCAAAGGUUUUCCUGGUGACCUAGUUCCUCUGGAGCAAUCGCACUGCUCCAGUGAUGUUUUAGCGACUUGCCCUGGUACCCUGAGUUCCCACCUUGCCGCUCGUCUCACAUUUUCUUUCAGGAUAUCUGGAUUUUUCCUCUGAUUUACACAUUUCCUCUAUAAUUCUGCACAAUACCAAAAAUAAAUAUAAUUUCCUUCCUCUUAAAACUCAAUAACCAUUAGGCUAGAAGAAGAGGUACCAUUUGGCAAAAAAAAAAAAAAAAAACUCUCCAUAUCACAUCCUGCCUAGCGGUAACCUCAAACUUGAUCUCACAGUGAGGACAGCCUGAUUUUUCUCAUGCUUAGGAAAUCACCAAGCCAUGGUAACACUUUCCUGGAUGUAGCUAUUGUAGCGUACUGGGGCCCCUGAGCCAUGCAGGGUCACACAGUUUGUCUGGGGUGAGAGGUCUCAUUCAAAAUGCAUUACACCAAAUUUUCCUUUCAAUGAAGUUUUGGCUGUACCACCUCCACUGCCCCACCUGUAAAAAGAGGAAACUUCUCUUAUAAGAGAAUGAGAAAAGAGGGAAGAAGGAGGAGUGUCCAGAUGGAUAGAAGGGGAGGGGAAGGUGGUUUCUUUUUUUCUUUUCCUUUUUUUUUUUUUUUUGAGAUGGAGUCUCACUCUCUCACUCAGGCUGGACUGCAGUGGUGGUAUCACUGCAACCUCCGCCUCCCAGGUUCAAGCGAUUCUCUUGCCUCAGCCUCCCAGGUAGCUGGGAACUAAAGGCGCACGCCACCACGCCCAGCUAAGAUUUUUGUAUUUUUAGUACAGG